rnacentral:rRNA from 1 species
ACGUGAUCUGAGUUCAGACCGGAGAAAUCCAGGUUGGUUUCUAUCUAUAAAGGGGUUUUUCUAGUACGAAAGGACCGAAAAAGCAUGGCCAAUGACCAAUUAAGCCAUAAGCCAACUUUUGAAUUCAACUCAACUAGUAAUUAUCCUACUACUUUAACUUUAAAAAAAAGUG